GGGGAUAUAGCUCAGCGGCAUAAGCACCUGCCUUGCAAGCAGGUGGUCGUGAAUUCAAUCCCCG
rfam:Cavia porcellus supercont2_53 genomic scaffold, whole genome shotgun sequence.